GACGGAGGGUGCUAGCGUUGUUCGGAAUGACUGGGCGUAAAGGGCGCGUAGGCGGCUCGUGAAGUCGGGUGUGAAAGCCCGGGGCUCAACCCCGGAACGGCAUCCGAUACUGGCGGGCUUGAGACCGGGAGAGGAGGGUGGAAUACCCAGUGUAGAGGUGAAAUUCGUAGAUAUUGGGUGGAACACCGGUGGCGAAAGCGGCUCUCUGGCCCGGAUCUGACGCUGAGGCGCGAAAGCGUGGGGAGCGAACAGG
rnacentral:rRNA from 1 species